rnacentral:rRNA from 1 species
UACGAAGGGGGCUAGCGUUGCUCGGAAUCACUGGGCGUAAAGCGCACGUAGGCGGAUUGUUAAGUCAGGGGUGAAAUCCUGGAGCUCAACUCCAGAACUGCCUUUGAUACUGGCGAUCUCGAGUCCGGGAGAGGUGAGUGGAACUGCGAGUGUAGAGGUGAAAUUCGUAGAUAUUCGCAAGAACACCCGUGGCGAAAGCGGCUCUCUGGGACGGUACUGACGCUGAGACGCGAAAGCUUGGGGAGCAAACAGG